UGGGGAAUAUUGGACAAUGGGCGAAAGCCUGAUCCAGCCAUGCCGCGUGUGUGAAGAAGGUCUUCGGAUUGUAAAGCACUUAAAGUUGGGAGGAAGGGCAUUAACCUAAUACGUUAGUGUUUUGACGUUACCGACAGAAUAAGCACCGGCUAACUCUGUGCCAGCAGCCGCGGUAAUACAGAGGGUGCAAGCGUUAAUCGGAAUUACUGGGCGUAAAGCGCGCGUAGGUGGUUUGUUAAGUUGGAUGUGAAAUCCCCGGGCUCAACCUGGGAACUGCAUUCAAAACUGACUGACUAGAGUAUGGUAGAGGGUGGUGGAAUUUCCUGUGUAGCGGUGAAAUGCGUAGAUAUAGGAAGGAACACCAGUGGCGAAGGCGACCACCUGGACUAAUACUGACACUGAGGUGCGAAAGCGUGGGGAGCAAACA
rnacentral:rRNA from 1 species